rnacentral:rRNA from 1 species
UACGUAGGGUGCGAGCGUUGUCCGGAAUUACUGGGCGUAAAGAGCUCGUAGGUGGUUUGUCGCGUUGUUCGUGAAAUCUCACGGCUUAACUGUGAGCGUGCGGGCGAUACGGGCAGACUUGAGUACUGCAGGGGAGACUGGAAUUCCUGGUGUAGCGGUGGAAUGCGCAGAUAUCAGGAGGAACACCGGUGGCGAAGGCGGGUCUCUGGGCCGAUACUGACACUGAGGAGCGAAAGCGUGGGGAGCGAACAGG